GAGCGAGUGAGCAGUUUCAAGUUCCUGGGUGUCAAGAGCUCUGAGGAUCUAACCUGGUCCCAACAUAUCGAUGCAGUUAUAAAGAAGGCAAGACAGCAGCUAUUAGGAGUUUGUAGAGAUUAGGCCGAGUGGCUAGCUUGGUGCUCAACCUGGCAUGGAUGUAAAGCGUGCUCAGAAGUGGCUCGGCAUGGAUUCGAAAUCGGGAGCCUUCGCUCCGGAGUCCAGCACUGAUGCCAUUGCGCCACCAGCCGGCUGUCUCAUCAUUGAGAGGACAUCAGACACAAGGGACUUGAGUCACAGUCAUUGGAGCGGUUGUCUGUUGUUAUUGUAGUUGCAGUCACCGAAGUUCAAUCCUCUCUGCCCAUCUUGACUGCAUGUGGAUUUCCCGAGCUUCAGCUGCUCUGGCCCUUCAUGCAGCUGAAAGUGGGCCGAUUGAAUUCUACAAAGACCCAAGAUGACUGACGGGCGAAACAUUAACACUGUUCUUGCAAAACUUACUAAGCAAUCACAAAACUUCACCCAAGCAUGACCAGUAAGCAGUCGCGAGUCAUUUACUAUUGUUUGCAUUAGUAGCACCAACAGAAGGCAAUUUAGGUCAAAUGUCAAGUUGCAUGCUUAGAAUCCGCGACAGAUUCGAAUGGUUUAAUUUCGUUAGGAGCCUUGACAAUGUUGUACAAACUAGUAAAUACAUUGGAUCAUUAUCUGGAUAACACUCUGCAAAGUGACCCAAAGCUAUAUGAAAAUAAAUCUCUCGUAAUUUAAAUUCAAGGCUUAAUCUACGCGCGGCAAUGGAAAAAAGUUGGUAAAAUAUGUACAACAAAUCCUAUUUAUGUUGUAUAACUCGGAAGCGACCCAUCAGAUCUGUGAAUGUACAAUACAAUUUCAUCCAGUGCCUUUCAACAUAGUUGAGAUUAAAAUGCAAUGUGGACAAAGAAUUGUUGAAAUUACUUGGUAAUAUUUUAAAAGACGUUAAUGCGGUGGCAGGACAAUUUCACGAUUUAAAUAGAAUUUAACUGCAAGCGUUCGAGAGGUUUUUAUAAAUGUAAGCUUUGCUUUCAAAUCGAAUAUUUCUUGAUGCCCUAUGCAAUCAGAUAUUUUUCUCUGUUUCUACAGUGACCGACUCUAUCUGCUUCUCCUACGUAUGGAGAAAACUAGUCAGUCUUUAACGAAUUAGAUUUGAGCUUUAGCAUCGAGUUGAUCACAGUACCAGAAAGAAAACUUAACAGUUGGUGUGGAAGCAGCGGGGGAAGUUCAUGCUUUCAGAAGCUUGCGUGCAUCAGAUCUUGGUCUUACAACAGAGUAAAAUAUAACAAUAUGGAAUACAACAGUACCCAGGGAAUGAUUUGGCAGCGGUCAGCAGAGAUGAUCUCAAUUUAGUUACUACGUUUGAUUUAUCAUGGUCUGCACGAAACUUUGUGGAAGUAAUGGGCAUCAAAGAGAUCCUUCUCAACUUUCAGUCAGUUUCUCGACAUAACCUAAGUUUCGUUUUAAGCAACUCAUUGAAAAGAGAACGGCUGCAGGCAUUUCACGGGUUUGUAAAAUUCAUAUCCGACAUGUACACUCGCACAGUGCACGGGGAUUUGAGGAAUAAUCUAUUUUCAAGCCCUGUGCAAAUUUAAAUGGUUGCGACCUCAUAUAAUACUCACCGUUGCGUGGAGUUUCCCUUUCUUACUCAUCGCUAAAAAACGGUUGCUAAAAAUCCCACGGAUUCCCACUAUUCCCUGAGACACGGCGAAUAUUUCCAAAAUACCUGGAAGUGAAAUAUCCACAGGAAAGAUAUUUUAAUGCCGGGUUUCUAAAACUUACUUACCGGCUGCUGCUAGAAGACUAACAGCAAUCUUCCUCUGUUUAAAGCUCUUUUCAACGCUCACCUACUGAUGACGGGAAGCCCGUUACAACUAGCAGGUCUGUAACUAUUUGAUCUUGUAAAAUACGAAAAUCGCGCUGUAUAACAUGCUGCCUUUUUAUUCCUUACACGAAUUAUACUGUGGCUUUGAUAUGGUGACACUGCAGAUCGCAGAUCCUCGCAGCCUUUAAAAUGCAGAGCUCUCGCGCAGAAAGUUCUGAACAAUUACGACUGUCCUAUGAUUUCUGCUUCUUGACGUUUUCAAGAGUUCAUAAAUUCUGAUUUGUAUUAUUUCCAGGUAUUAACUGGCCAAAUCGACCACACCAAGUUCUAACGCAAUCUCUCCAAGCACUCAAUUCCCUUUAGCCUGCACCUGUUAACAACAUACUUAGCGGCUUAACAUGACCACGGCGAAUCGCGAGCCAGACAACCUGUCCCCGGAACUACUAAUCACAAAAUCGAUCUUUAUAACAAAAAUAGCUUUUCAAACAUGCACCAUUUCCAGUUAAGUGGAGAUAGAAUAAUAGCAAUAGGGUUACGUUCUUUGUACGUUGCAUAUAUUUCCUUAACCUUUCACUGUUAAAACAAACAAAAUUGUGUCGACGUUUAUUUAAUACAUAAGUCAUACAGUUGGUGGAGAUUAAAAUAUUUAGCCUAUUACUUUACAUAAACAAGUGUAUCAACUCUUACAUUUAUACACCCUAUCGUGACCUCCAAAACGCGCAGUAUUUUAGUGGUCGAAACAAUUUACUUGCAAUACGAGCAAUCAUGCAAAGAGAUUGGCAGCGAAAAGUUAUUGUGAAACACGAUGCACAUGCGUAAUUUCUAUGAGAUUUCCUCAUAGAAAAUUGCAAUCCAUAGAGCAUAUUGCGUUAUUUACGAUUGUAGGUAAUAGGGUCUGCUAUU